rnacentral:rRNA from 1 species
GAUGGACGCUGGCGGCGUGCCUAACACAUGCAAGUCGAACGGAAAGGCGACAGCCUGGCGGGGCACUCGUGAGGCGAACGGGGGAGUAAAACGCGGGUGAACUGCACUGAAAACUGGGAUAAGCCUGGGAAAAUGGGGCUAAUAUAGGAUAGGAUCGAGCGAUAGGGAGUGCGGAGGAAAGAAUUACGGUGCUGGAUGAGCGCGCAGCCGAUCAGCUGGUUAGUGGGGUAAUGGCUUACGAAGGCGGCGACGGAUAGCCGGCAUGAGAGGGUGUACGGGCACAUUGGGACUGCGACACGGCGCAGUCGCCUACGUGAGGCAGCAGUGGAAAGUAUUGCGCAGUGGGCCCAAGCCUGAUGCGGCGGCGCCGCGUGCGGAAUGACGGCCUUCGGGUUAUAAACCCCUGUCGACGGGAACGUAGCUUUUGUGACGGUACCUGAAUAGAAAGCACCGGCUAACUACGUG